CCCGCUGAGUUUAAGCAUAUCAAUAAGCGGAGGAAAAGAAACUUACCAGGAUUCCCCUAGUAACGGCGAGCGAACCGGGAAAAGCCCAGCUUGAGAAUCGGGCGCCACCGGCGUUCGAAUUGUAGUCUGGAGAAGCGUCCUCAGCGGCGGACCGGGCCCAAAAGAUGAAUUCCUUGUUUUCUUCACCCAUUUUCUAUUUUUAAUAUCCUUAUUCUAUAUUAUAAAGCCAUAUAAUAGAAAAAAUGCUAACAUAAAAUAUAUAUUAUAUAA
rnacentral:ncRNA from 1 species